UUCAGAACGAAAACUUUGCAUGCAUUUGUUUCGUCUGACAACGGGACGUUGUGCCAGGAUCUAGAAUCAGUCUAGCAGAAAUGUGGACGCGUCGAUCGUGUCGUGGCAAUCGCACACACUUUGAAACUAUGUAGAGAUGGAGUUCAUGAAACUGUUUGGAACUGUUUUAGCAGUUUGCUUCCAUCCCAGCUGCACAUCGCAAGCGUUCAGUGAUCAGAGAUAUGCCGGAGAGUGACAGAGAAGCCCUGCUAUAAGAUCACAAGCUUCCAGGACAGCAGGCUCAGAGCAAGCUUUGAGGCAGACAGUCAGAAGUGCAGGGACCAUGACUGAGAGCUGCUCAGCAUUGAGACAGAGAAUGAGCAGCAUCUGGUGGAGAGGUUCGUUCAGGAGUUCAAGGCCUCUGAUGGAGACUUCUGGAUAGGGUUACGGAGGAACCCACAAAACAAAGACUCAGCUGCAGAUUGUCCAUCACAGUUUUUCUGGCUGGAUAACAGUCAUGCCACAUUCAGGAGAAAAGAUCAGAAUGAAAUCAAUGCAGUGCCAGGGCAGUGGGUGCAUACAACAUCUCCAAAAAGUCCAAAUGAAUAUGAACGCAUCAACAAAUUCAAGGAGCCAAGAGCUCAUUUGGAGUACAUGAGCUCCAAAGUUACUUCCACCAACAGUCAAUUUAAGGACUAUGAGAAUGUUCCGAACAGAAUUGCCCAGUGUGGUUUUGUCACAAAUGACAUUUAUGAGACCUGUCGAAACCCCUCGGCACUAGAGGCCAGAUGGGUUUACAGUGACCUCUGUGGAUACUAGAACACUCUAUAUACUGACUAGCAGAGUGACCUCUCUCCCACUAUCGUGGCUGGCUCUCCCACUAUCUUUGAUCUCCUCUCCCGUCUGUAUGCCAACUCUUUGAUGUGCACUAUGUGUGACCUGGCGUGAAGGAUGGGGAGGCCUGUGAGGGGUCAGCACAGGAGUGUAGCCUGGAUUCCCAUAACUGACUAUACAAAGAAGCAUGAAGAUGUCAUCAGCUUGUGGGAGCUUCCUCUGUUGAAGCUGGCAUCCUGGAACAGGAGCUUCCAUUUGGAAAUUCACAAAACAGUGCACUGACCUCUCAGCCCAUCUCAACAACAUCCUUUUGUAUAUCCGAGAAUGCCCUCUUCAAGGAUUCCUGCUGUUGUCCGCUUGUGUUUAAGAUGAAAGCUACAGUAUAUACUUGCUGUUUUGAGCUGGGCAACAGCCAAACACUGACCAACCAGAAAGUUGUUGCUGAUAUAUUCUGGGAUUCCUAGAAUCAAGCUAGAAUCACACUUGAAUCAAAGAUGUUUUGUUCCAAUAUUUGUCCAUUGUGUAAAAAAAAAAAAAAAAUGAAGCAUAUUAGCAAAAUAAUUUUAAUGUACAGGAUAAUAUUGUAACAUACAUUAUUUAAUGUGUUUUGCUUUUGGAUAUCAAAUUAUGAACAAAAAAGGUAAAUAAUUAUUUGUUGUUCUUUGGAUUGUAAAUGCUGAUAUAAUUUUUGUCCUUGAGAUAUACGAGCUGUCUAAUUCUUUGGAUAUUGUACAUAGAAGAAGCUGCAAUGGGUAUUUUGUGUGUGUGUGUGUGUGUGUGUGUGUGUGUGUGUUUAUUUGAUUGUAUUUGUUAAUUAUAAUGAAUAAAAAAAAUUAGACCUUAUCUCGACUGGGAAUCUUUUAAAGUUUAGGUCAGUGGUUUUCAUAUAUUAAUGACAAUAGUUUACCUAUCUCAUCCAUGUCAUCAAACGUCACUGCUACUUUUUCCAUUCAUGUCAGGUGAAGAUGAGUAU